rnacentral:tRNA from 2 species
AGCUAUAUAGUUUAAACUAAAACGUUAAUUUUGUAAAUUAUCAAUAAAAAUUUAUUUUUAUAGCUA